UCGUGGAUCGAAACCCUAGGCGUUCGCAUUCGAGCAACGGCCGAUCUUAUCGGGAUAGGUCAGUCUCCCUCCGUCCCCUCCCCCUCUCCCCCUACUUCUUAUAGUGCCCACGUCCCCUCUCGCCUCCGUGACACCAAACACUAGUCUUUCUAAUCAUAUCUCGACACGUUACGAAUCUUUAGAAUUUGCCGACAUGGCAUCUUCUUAUCGGAGACUACUGCUGUUUCGACACCAAAUAGUUGCACGAAAAAGUUUUUACUUAUUUACGACAUUGCCCCCCUCUGUUGUUUUGCUGUAUAUAUUUUUCUUGGAGCAACGUCUUUUCGACACUUUCCCCGUUUACCCACCCCGGUACCUCCCUUGGGUCCCAUCAGCUACUCGAGCCUUCUCCAUUAGCAAUGCAGGUGUCCAAGCAGGUCAACGAAAAUAGUAGAAACCUGAAUUUUAAGUGUCUCUCAUGUUUUAACAUAGUGUUCAUCAGUCGUAGUAGUAGUAGUAGUAGUAGGAAGUAUAAUGUAGUGACUGGAUUCAACAAGAAAAAAAGAGGAAUAAAAUUAGAUAGUGAGGCAUAUAUAUUAAAGUGUUUUCUUGUGCUACUAAGGAAUAUUUGGAUUAGAAUGGAGCAAGUGGAGAUUAGAUUUUGCACACUGCAUAUGGAUGACAAUAAUUAUACCAAAAGAUGCUGUCAUUUCUGUUUGGGAAUGAAUUUGAUAUAAGUGUUGCAGCAAAACAUGUGUCGGCUUUGUUUCAAGUCCUUAUGAUGAAGUUGCUAACUCGUAUCAUCACAAUGAUUGUUUUGGAAGAUAUUACUCCACUUGGAGAAUAUUAUAAUGCACUGAGAUGAUUAGUUGUUUCUGGCAACUCAUUGGAUAACCUUUCAUGCUGACUAUGCAUGUGAAUGUUCUUCUGCAAGAAAUGCUUCUUUUUUAUUCUCUGUCUACUAUAUUUGUGUCCUCAUGUAGCUUUGUGUACUUCCAUUUUUUUUAGCAUCUCUUAGUACAAUGAGUUCAUGUUAAGAAUUAGGUGCUUGCAGAAGACAAUGAGUUCAUGGUAGUAUUAAAUUUGGACAAAACUAAAGCAGGAAAGAAAAGACAAAGUGGUGCUGCUACUAGUUCCAAAUUGUGUGUAUUUAUGUUGUUGCAGGAGCUCUAUGGAUCUCUUUUUGUUCAAGUUAAUUGGAUUAACUUUGGCUUUGUUUGUGUUCUUCUGAAAAUGAAGGUUCAGAAGAAACAGGACAACAUAAAAAGUAACUGCAGCUUCUAGCAUAACAUGUUACUACUUAAUUAAUGGUAUUUUGACUUUGUCUAGGGAGAACAAUGUUUUUAACCUAAUCCAGUCAUGUUAAUUAAAUGUAAAGUGACAAGUUUUAUUGUGUUUUAAAAUAUUAAAGGAAACUCUAUGAUUGCAUAUAUUAUAUUAUUCAUGUGUAGCAUAAGAGCUCUUUUUUCCUAUUUUCCUUCCAAAUGUAGACAGGCCAAGUUCUUGCUUCUUGUGAAUAUUAGCACAGAUGUCAAUAUCAAUCAACUUGACUUUGUUCUAAUAUACACUGUUCAAGAACUUAAUUUUCAUUUGACAAUGACAUGUUGAUCUUUUAGUGGUGUCUCAUGUUGCAUGAGGGAACAUCAACUCCAUAGGGAAUGUUGAUAUGAUGACAAGGGAAAUGGUGGAUGUUUUGCUUAGCAAUAAUAAAAGAAAGAUGGCAUACGGAAUUAUCCAACACAAUUUUGAAUAUAGAGACAAAUAGACAAAAUAAUAAUACACUGAAUAGGACUGGGAACAUUUCAUGGUUCUUUAGGUCUCAAGGUACAGAGCUUUGUCUUCACUUGAGGUUUCAAUAUGAGGAUGUUAUCUAAAUAACAUAAUAUUAUUCACUGGAAACUAGCUUAAUACAUUUAGACAAUAAUCACUAUUGGAUUCAAGUAUAAAUAUAAGUGACUAAGAUCUGUUUUUAGUGACAAAAGAUGUUAUAUUGCUGUAGGCUCAUUUUCUUUUCUUUUUCUUAUUUUCUAGCUAUAGCUCGAUGAAAUAUCAACAAAAAGACUUUCUGUUACUUAUGAUAAUUUAUGCAAUUAUAGUAUGCAUUAAAGUUAUUAUUUUUUAUCAGUGUCUUAUGUAAGGUUGUGUUAACCACUCAAGGAAUCAAAAGCAAUUUGACCAUGCAUUGGUUCAUAUAUUCUUGUAUGACCAUGAAAGACUUGCAUGCAAUUUGAUGAAAAUAUAAGCCCCUGCUAAAGCUUGAUACCUCCAUCCAUUGAAAUGAUGAACAGGUUCAGCUGCACCUCAUUCAUUAUACCAACCUCACCCUACCAAGAAGGACUUCAUCAUGCAUGCAAAGACUCUUCACUAUCAUGCUUUGAGCAGGUCACACCCCUCAGGCCCCAAAACCCUCAUCUUUUCAUUUGCUUUGGCAAGCAGCAAAUGGUUGGUGGGUCAGUGGAUGAUCUAUAUGCUCCCUUGCUUACUGAAGUGACUUUGAGAAAAGUGUUAGAGUGAGAAUAAAUACUGAGAUGACCACAGCACCAACCGUUGCAAUCUUUAUUCAUGAAGGUCUGUGUAGGGAGCAUGUUACCCUUCUUUUCUAGCUGCACUGGAAAGAAGCAACAUAAGCAGUGGCUGCCACUUAGCUCACUCACCAGUGAUCCUUAAGAAUACUAUUCCUUUUUCAUGGUGGAAUCAGUAGAAUAAGAGGGAGACUUUUGGUGGUGUUUUGAGAAUGCAUUGUCUGAUGCUGCAAGCAGAAGAUUAGUUUCUGUGCAGAGAAAGGGAUGUGAGAGGAGACAACAUAUGUGUCUUCUCUAUCUCACCAUCUUUAAUCAUGAACCCUUGGGCCUAUGGCAAAUCAGAAUCUGUAGCUCCUUGGCCUUUUGUUGCGGUUUGUGGUGGUUCCUGUACCCUAACCAUGGGGGAUCCCACACCAUGAUUGUGGACCUUUAUACAGUGUCACUAGUGCAAUGUACACAGCAGUGAAGGACUACUACUGCUACUUGCAAACAGUGGGUCUUCAUUGCAGCUAUUGUUCACUGUUUGUUGCAGAAAUGCAAAUCAUUUUGGUACUCGAAAUCUACAGGUCCCAUAAUCUUGGUAUUUUGUUUGUCAUCUAUGUGUGCUAGUUGCUUAAUUCAUGAUUCUUCUGAAUGAGUGACUGAUGUAACUCAUAAAAGUCAUGAUUACGAUUGCUUUGUAUUUCUUUCUUUCCUUCUUUCUUUUUUGCUCUUAUAAUCGGAAAAACACAAUCAGAAUGUAGCAACUCAGUUUUGUUCAAUACCCAUUGAAGUGAACUACAAAGUAGCUGCUGAUGAUAAGAGGCAGAAAGAUAUAGUGAAGUCAGAUUACUAAUCUUUGGGACUGGAGAAAACUGUAGCUGAAUCAAGUAGUGAAGGAUGCCUUUAAAUGAACAAUUUUUUCCCUGUAUUAAUGUUUGUUUUCUGCUGCAUUGCAAAGUUGAGUAGUAGAUAGAUGCAUUUCUUUGAGGCCAUAAGAUAUGAUUCAAUACGUGACUGCUUCUCACUCUGUAACAGUGGAAGAAGAAGAAGCAGCAGCAGCAGCGACAGCCUCUUCUUAAACUAAUGCCAUGGAUCUCGAAUCAAGCAGCUACAGCAUUAUUCAAAUCCCUAUCCAUAUCGUCCUACGCUGUACGGAUCGUUCACCCUCAUGUGAAGCC
rnacentral:lncRNA from 1 species